rnacentral:rRNA from 1 species
ACUCAAAUGAAUUGACGGGGGCCCGCACAAGCGGUGGAUCAUGUGGUUUAAUUCGAAGCAACGCGAAGAACCUUACCUGGGUUUGACAUCCUCUGACAUCCGUAGAGAUACGGCUUCUGUAGCAAUACAGCAGAGAGACAGGUGCUGCAUGGCUGUCGUCAGCUCGUGUGGUGACAUGUUGGGUUAAGUCCCGCAACGAGCGCAACCCCUGUCCUUAGUUGCCAUCAUUAAGUUGGGCACUCUAAGGAGACUGCCGUGGUUAACACGGAGGAAGGUGGGGAUGACGUCAAGUCCUCAUGGCCCUUACAUCCAGGGCGACACACGUGAUACAAUGGACGACACAAAGAGAAGCGAGGGGGAGACCCGGAGCCAAUCUCAAAAAGUCGUUCUCAGUUCGGAUUGAAGUCUGCAACUCGACUUCAUGAAGGUGGAAUCGCUAGUAAUCGCGGAUCAGCAUUGCCGCGGUGAAUACGUUCCCGGGCCUUGCACACACCGCCCGU